AUGACCCUACGGGACGCAGCAGUAGGGAAUUUUCGUCAAUGGGCGCAAGCCUGAACGAGCGAUGCCGCGUGAGUGAAGAAGGCCUUCGGGUCGUAAAGCUCUGUUGCGGGGGAAAAAAGGCAGCAUCAGGAAAUGGGUGCUGACUGAUGGUGCCCCGCCAGAAAGUCACGGCUAACUACGUGCCAGCAGCCGCGGUAAUACGUAGGGGGCGAGCGUUAUCCGGAAUGAUUGAGCGUAAAGGGUGCGCAGGCGGUCCUGCAAGUCUGGAGUGAAACGCAUGAGCUCAACUCAUGCAUGGCUUUGGG
rnacentral:rRNA from 1 species